AUGAUCACCAGGGGCGGCAUUCCAGAUGUGUUGAAUUCUCAGUAUAAGAAAAAUAUUAAAGGUGGUGAAAAGAGUGAGAAGAGGAAAGAAGAAGAUCUUUUUGAGAAACUAUGGGGGUGGGAAAGGCUGCUACCACUGCUCGAUUCCAUUAAGUGGUCUUACUAUAGCAGCUACCUUGAGGAGUACUAUAACUGCAAUGCUCAUGAGUUGGUCGCCGAUGCUGCUGCUGCAAACGAAACUCCCGGGGAUUCGCAAAUCACCGCUGCUGCUGACAUGGGUACUGCUGUUGCCAAAUUGUGUAUCAAGACGGAGGAGGAACUCCUGUCCAAGUGGAAGACUCGAGUGGAACGUAGCUUGGAUGCCACUUUACCAAUCAGCACUACCAUUCAGAGUAGCCUUAUCAAGCAGUUUGCACUUUCAAUCUACGGCGCAGGGGGUGAAUUGUGUGUUCCUACUGCCGUUGCUCUUGUGUGUAUCAUCAGAGAGGCUGACCUGAUGUGUGAGCUGCUGAAGCAUGGCGCGGCGCCUUUUGACGACAUAAUCCAGCAUAGCAGCAUGAUCCGCACGUGCGCCUUGGGCCUUGCCAACAACCUCAAAGGACAGCAGUCUAUUGCCCCCGCUGCUGCAAUGGUGAUGAAUGUCUUGGAUUCGAUUCAAGGGUAUGGCAAAGGAGGCCAAGAAGUUGUGCGAUUGGAUCAAGAGAAAGAAGAAGCUCGUCAGUCGUCACCUUCAGCCUGUGUGACCCUCAUGGGCUCGAGAAGUGCCGCGUGA
rnacentral:rRNA from 1 species